rnacentral:rRNA from 1 species
CGUAGGGUGCAAGCGUUAAUCGGAAUUACUGGGCGUAAAGCGUGCGCAGGCGGUUGUGCAAGACAGAUGUGAAAUCCCCGGGCUCAACCUGGGAACUGCAUUUGUGACUGCACGACUGGAGUACGGCAGAGGGGGAUGGAAUUCCGCGUGUAGCAGUGAAAUGCGUAGAUAUGCGGAGGAACACCGAUGGCGAAGGCAAUCCCCUGGGCCUGUACUGACGCUCAUGCACGAAAGCGUGGGAGCAAACAGGAUU